rnacentral:rRNA from 1 species
GUGAGGAAUCUUCCACAAUGGGCGAAAGCCUGAUGGAGCAACGCCGCGUGAAGGAUGAAGGUCUUCGGAUUGUAAACUUCUUUUAUGAGUGAAGAAUAUGACGGUAACUCAUGAAUAAGCACCGGCUAACUACGUGCCAGCAGCCGCGGUCAUACGUAGGGUGCAAGCAUUAUCCGGAGUGACUGGGCGUAAAGAGUUGCGUAGGCGGUUAUGUAAGCGAAUAGUGAAACCUGGUGGCUCAACCACACAGACUAUUAUUCGAACUGCAUAACUCGAGAAUGGUAGAGGUAACUGGAAUUUCUUGUGUAGGAGUGAAAUCCGUAGAUAUAAGAAGGAACACCAAUGGCGUAGGCAGGUUACUGGGCCAUUUCUGACGCUAAGGCACGAAAGCGUGGGGAGCGAACCGGAUUAGAUACCCCAGUAGUCC